rnacentral:rRNA from 1 species
GAUGAACGCUGGCGGCGUGCCUAAUACAUGCAAGUCGAGCGAACGGACGAGAAUCUUGCUUCUCUGAUGUUAGCGGCGGAUGGGUGAGUAACACGUGGAUAGCCUAUCUAUAAGACUUGGAUAACUUCGGGAAACCGUAGCUAAUAACGGAUAAUAUUUUGAACCGCUUGGUUCAAAAGUGCUAGACGGUUUUGCUGUCACUUAUAGAUGUAUCCGCGCUGCAUUAGCUAGUUGGUAAGGUAACGGCUUACCAAGGCAACGAUGCAUAGCCGACCUGAGAGGGUGAUCGGCCACGCUGGAACUGAGACACGAUCCAGACUCCUACGGGAGGCACCAGUAGGGAAUCUUCCGCGAUGGGCGAAAGCCUGACGGAGCAACGCCGCGUGAGUGAUGAAGGGCUUCGGAUCGUAGAACUCUGUUAUUAGGGAAAAACAUAUGUGUACGUAACGGUGCGCUUCUUGACGGUACCUGAUCAAAAAGCCACGGCUAACUACGUG